rnacentral:rRNA from 1 species
AUUGAACGCUGGCGGAAUGCUUUACACAUGCAAGUCGAACGGCAGCACGGGGGCAACCCUGGUGGCGAGUGGCAAACGGGUGAGUAAUACAUCGGAACGUGCCCAGUCGUGGGGGAUAACGUAGCGAAAGUUACGCUAAUACCGCAUACGAUCUACGGAUGAAAGCGGGGGACCGUAAGGCCUCGCGCGACUGGAGCGGCCGAUGUCAGAUUAGGUAGUUGGUGAGGUAAAGGCUCACCAAGCCGACGAUCUGUAGCUGGUCUGAGAGGACGACCAGCCACACUGGGACUGAGACACGGCCCAGACUCCUACGGGAGGCAGCAGUGGGGAAUUUUGGACAAUGGGCGCAAGCCUGAUCCAGCCAUUCCGCGUGCAGGACGAAGGCCUUCGGGUUGUAAACUGCUUUUGUACGGAACGAAAAGGCUCUGGUUAAUACCUGGGGCUCAUGACGGUACCGUAAGAAUAAGCACCGGCUAACUACGUGCCAGCCGCCGCAGUAA